GAGGCUUGUUGAUGCUGAUGAGAAACCUUCUCUGCGAUACGUGUAUGAGGGCAUACAAAAAGCCAAAAUUGCUAUCAAGACAAUGUUUAGAAAUAGAAAAGCUGCAUACACACCUUAUACAAAUAUCUUGAAAAUGCGGUGGGAUAAGCAUUUGAAGCGUGACCUCCAUGCAGCAGCAUACUUUUUGAAUCCAGAUUUCUUCUAUAGUGAGGGGUUUGUUGAGAAAGCAAAUAUCUUGAGGUCUUUACUUGAUUUAUUUGAUAUUGAAACUCUUUGCGAUGACUCAAUUGCCGCAAUGCAAGAAAUACAGUUGUAUUGAGAUCGAAAAGAAAAUUUUGGAAGGGAAAGUGCUUUGAAAGCAAUUAAGAGACUCGAACCUGGUGAAUGGUGGAGGCUACACAGUGGAAGUGCUCCUAAUUUGCAAAAAAUGGCGAUUCAUCUUCUUCAUCAAACAUCUUCAUCAUCCGGAUGUGAGAGGAACUGGAGCCUCUUUGAACAAAUCCAUUCAAAGAGGAGGAACCGAUUAGAGCGUCAAAGAUAGAGGAGAUGUGGAAGUUGAUGUGGAUUUGCCUGAUGUUGCUGAUUCUUCAAAUACAGCUUCUUUUGGUGGUACUUCUGAAGAUGGUGGCUUUGGAUUACCUGUUUAUGAUGGAGAUAUUGGAACACUUAAUGAUAAUUAUGAUUUUUGAUAAGUUGCACCUUUGAUUAGUUGAAAACUUGCUAGUAAUUGUUUCUUUUGGAU